AUGGCCGUUCUUAGUUGGUGGAGUGAUUUGUCUGCUUAAUUGCGAUAACGAACGAGACCUUAACCUGCUAAAUAGCCAGGCCCGCUUUGGCGGGUCGCCGGCUUCUUAGAGGGACUAUCGGCUCAAGCCGAUGGAAGUUUGAGGCAAUAACAGGUCUGUGAUGCCCUUAGAUGUCCUGGGCUGCACGCGCGCUACACUGAUGCAUGCAACGAGUAACGACCUUUGCCGGAAGGCACGGGUAAUCUUUUGAACGUGCAUCGUGAUAGGGAUAGAUUAUUGCAAUUAUUAAUCUUGAACGAGGAAUUCCUAGUAAACGCGAGUCAUCAGCUCGCAUUGAUUACGUCCCUGCCCUUUGUACACACCGCCCGUCGCUCCUAC
rnacentral:rRNA from 1 species